rnacentral:tRNA from 1 species
AGUCUUAUAUUUUAAUAAAAAUCUUAAAUUGCAAAUUUAAAGAUGAUAAAUAUCAAUUUUUCUAAGACUU